rnacentral:rRNA from 1 species
AUUGAACGCUGGCGGCAGGCCUAACACAUGCACUUCGGGCGAGCGGCGGACGGGUGAGUAAUGUAUGGGGAUCUGCCUGAUGGCGGGGGCUAACUACUGGAAACGGUAGCUAAUACCGCAUACCAUCAGAUGAACCCAUAUGGGAUUAGCUAGUAGGUGAGGUAACGGCUUACCUAGGCGACGAUCCCUCGCUGGUCUGAGAGGAUGAUCAUCCACACGGGGACUGAGACACGGCCCAGACGGCUACGGGAGGCAGCAGUGGGGAAUAUUGCACAAUGGGCGCAAGCCUGAGUCAGCCAUGCCGCGUGUAGGAAGGAGGCCUUCGGGUUGUAAAGUACUGGCAGUCGGGAGGCGUUACCGACAGAAGAAGCACCGGCUAACUCCGUGCCAGCCGCCGCGGUAAUUC